GUCAUAGACGCGAAACCUAGUGAUCUAGGCCUGUCCAGGCUGAAGCUGAGGUAAGACUCAGUGGAGGGCCGAACUCACCGCCGUUGAAAAGUUGGGAGAUGAGAUAGGUCUAGGGGUGAAAAGCCAAUCGAACUAGGAGAUAGCUCGUUCUCUCCGAAAUGCAUUUAGGUGCAGCCUUGGUUGAAGAUAUGCGGGGGUAGAGCACUGUAUGGCCUAGGGGGCGUAUAGCUUACCGAAGUCAAGCAAACUGCGAAUACCGUAUAUUGUUUACUGGGAGUGAGUCUAUGGAUGACAAGGUCCGUGGACGAGAGGGGAACAGCCCAGACCGCCGGCUAAGGUCCCAAAUCAUGUCUAAGUGGGAAAGGAGGUGGAUAUUCACAGACAACCAGGAGGUUGGCUUAGAAGCAGCCAUACCUUGAAAGAGUGCGUAAUAGCUCACUGGUCGAGAGUAUCUGCGCCGAAGAUAUAACGGGGCUAAGACAUGAACCGAAGCCGCGGAAUUAGUUUAUGCUAAUUGGUAGGAGAGCGUUCUGUAGGCCGUAGAAGGGGUGUUGUAAGACAUUCUGGAGGUAUCAGAAGUGAGAAUGCAGGAAUGAGUAGCGAGAAGGAGGGCGAGAAUCCCUCCGGCCGGAAGUCCAAGGUUUCCAGGGGAAGGUUUGUCCGCCCUGGGGGAGUCGGGACCUAAGCAUAAGCAGAGCUGCGAAGGCGAAUGGAAAACAGGUUAAUAUUCCUGUACCGCUGUGUACUGUCUGAGAGAUGGAGUGACGCAGGAAGGUAUGCGGGAAGGCUGACGGAAUAGCCUUUCUAAGGGUGAAGCGUGGACAUGCAGGCAAAUCCGCAUGUUUAUACGUGAGGCCUGAUGGGGAAGUGCCAUAUGGCAUAAGCCGCAGAUCCUACACUGCCGGGAAAAACUUCUAUUGAGGGAAGCAGCGCCCGUACUGUAAACCGACACAGGUGGACAGAGUGAGAAACUUAAGGCCGACAGGAUAACUCUGGCUAAGGAACUCUGCAAAAUGGCCCCGUAACUUAGGGAGAAGGGGUGCCUGAUAUACCUGAGAGGAGAGACACCUUAAGGGGAAACAGGCCGCAGUGAAGAGUCCCAAGCAACUGUUUACCAAAAACACAGGUCUAUGCUAAGCUGAAAGGCGACGUAUAUGGGCUGACACCUGCCCAGUGCCGGAAGGUUAAGAGGAGGAUUGAGAGAUUCGAAUUGAAGCCCCGGUGAACGGCGGCCGUAACUAUAACGGUCCUAAGGUAGCGAAAUUCCUUGUCGGGUAAGUUCCGACCUGCACGAAUGGUGAAAUGAUUUGGGAGCUGUCUUGGCCGGAGACCUGGUGAAGUUGUAAUGCCGGUGAAGAUACCGG
rnacentral:rRNA from 1 species